UGAGGAGCAAAACUGCCUUUUUAUCCCGAUAGGCGUCGCAUCGUCGACUGACCGUAAUUUGACAUUAGAGCUGUCAAAUCCAAUACAUUUUUUGUAAACAAGAGUAAUAAUUACCAAUUUUCGUAAAAAUGCCACAAUGUUGUGCUUUCAGUUUUAAAAACUGGAGUUCAUAUAUUUCCCAAAGACCCAAAGUGAAGAAAAAGUGGGGAAAUGCCUUGUGAAUAAAGAAUUUCAAGGAAAUAAUAUGGCACGCUUAAGUUCACUUCAUUUCACAGAAUAUUUUGAAGGAAGUAUUAUACACAGAUGCUGAGCCAUAAGAAACAUUUUUAAGAAAUACAUAAAGAGCCUCUGUUAUCUUACUGUUUAUUAGCAUAAUUAUGCAAGAUCUAUAUGUGAUUGACAAAUAAUGGGAAUAGGCUAUCUUAUGACCAAGUGUUGAAGCAAAUUCAAGACAUGUUUGCUAAUAAAAAGUUACUGUAAGGAUUCCGCAGCUUGUAGUACCACAGUUGCAGCAAGUACUAAAAUGUGUUCAUACUGAGAGGAUUAUAGGAUUAACCAAUAGCAAG